ensembl:snoRNA SNORD29 Small nucleolar RNA SNORD29
UCCCAAUGAUGACAAUCUUAGCUCACUUUGAACCGAUGUGAAACGACAUGAACUGCUGAGCGAC